rnacentral:rRNA from 1 species
UACGGGGGGGGCAAGCGUUGUUCGGAAUUACUGGGCGUAAAGGGCUCGUAGGCGGUGCUCUAAGUCGGAUGUGAAAACUCUGGGCUCAACCCAGAGCCUGCAUCCGAAACUGGAGUGCUAGAGUUCUGGAGGGGGUAGCGGAAUUCCUGGUGUAGCGGUGAAAUGCGUAGAUAUCAGGAGGAACACCGGUGGCGAAAGCGGCUUCCUGGACCAGUACCGACGUUCAGGCACGAAAGCGUGGGGAGCAAACAGG